AGACAAAAUUACUAAAGCUCUUUUUCCAGCCAUCUUUGAUGAUAGUUUUGCUUUUACAGGUGGAAAUGCGUUGCGACGGCUUUGCUCAGUUUCAGGCAGCGAGAGGCAUGGAGCUUAGCUGCACUUGGGUUGCCAGAUGGCGAUGUUGGCCACAAAUUCAGCAAAGAAGUUUAUGUGAGACACAAGGAAGACCAAUGUAAUACUUAAGUUCUUGUCAUCACCACCUUAAAUCCUACAAAUAAAAGGUUUUAUUCUAAUUUUAAACACAUUAUAUACACAUAAAGACGAGUUUCUGGUUAGAUGCAUACCUGUUGUAGGUUUUAAGUCUAGUGGACUCCAAUUCCAGUUUAGGUAGAUAUGAUGUGCACUAGCUUGAAUGUAAGUCAGCACAUCUUUCAGUUUGUGUCUUUAUGUGUUCUACUUUUGAAGUUCUCUGUCAUAUUUACGAGGAGAACCAGAGCCCAGUAAGAACAGCGGAUUAGACAAAAGCGUAGGGGGUGCUGGCAGCGACUCAUGCAUUGCGUGCCUGUGAGUGAAUUCAAGAAGCAGCAGUGAUUACCAACAUGUGCAGCAUGGGGAUCAACUCAACCAGACCCGCAAAAACACUCGAGCUCAUUUUCAUACAUUAAUUCACUUAUGUGCAUUUACAAAUUCCCCUCAGUAUAUUUCUAUCGAGGGCAUGAGGCGGAAAAAUAUCAACUUGUGACUUUUGAUACGGAGGAAUAAAUCAUGAAAGUAAAGUAGUCUGACCACUGCCAAUGUUUGUACAAGCUUAUCAUUUCAUCUUAUGCUUUAAAUUUUAAGUAAUUAAAGUAUAAAAAUUGUUGAUGAGUUUCUACAAUGGCACUUUGUUGUUUUUUAACAUUUUAAGAGAACUUUUCUAUUACUUUUGUGAGUUAUUUAUCCAUUUAUUUGUAUUUUAGUUUAGCUUAUUUAUUCAAAACUUGUGAAAAGGGAUUAAUCAAUACCCUUAUUGUUAACAGCAAUCAACCAUUCAGACACCCAAUCAUUUUCAGCUAUGGGAAAUUUAAAACAAAUCAGUCUUCCUUUGACAGAACUUAAGAAAAUGUCAUGUUUGAAAAGGAAGUAGGAAGAAGCUGUAGCUUAUUAAAGCAUAUUCCUUAAAAUUAAUUUAACUUUGACACAAAAAAUAAAGAUUUAUCAUCCCA